UCUCCCGCAAGGGAGCAGUCUCGCCUGACGUAAAAACGUAACAGACAACGAGGGUUGCGUUCGUUACCCCACUGAAGGGAACAGUUCAAACCACGAACUGACGACGACCGUGCACCACCUGUCCAGCACCCUCGAAGGCUCCCGACGUUUCUGCCGGGAUGCAGCUGGAUUUCUAAUCUUGGUAAGGUUCUUCGUUUGUCAUCGAAUUGAGCCACAUAAUCCACCGCUUGUGCGAAUCCCCGUCUAUUCAUUUGAGUUUUAAGCUUGCGCUCGUACUACCCAGGCGGCUCGCUUACCGCGUUAGCUUAGUCUCGCAGAGGGUCGAUACUCCGCGAAACGAGCGAGCAACGUUGAGGGCCAGGACUAC
rnacentral:misc_RNA from 1 species